rnacentral:lncRNA from 1 species
CGUCACCUCCUUCGAAAAAUUCUAGAAUACAACGGGUAUAUUAGUGACGUGGCAUAACAAACCAAUCAAAUAUAUCCUUUUAAGGGUAUAUGUCCCAUUAUGAUUAUAAAAAAAUAUUUUUAUUGUAUUUUUAUUUGAAAAGAAAGAAUAUGAUUGGCUUAUUAUUGAUGACGUGGUGCAAGUGUGACAGUGUAGAAUUCCUCCACCUCCCUCUCCCCGCCACAAAUACCCAUCAAUAAUUUUUUACAACUGAAAAUAAAAAUUCUAUAAAAAGUGGUGAUAUAGCACUAAAAUUUUCGAUCAGAAAUAUUAAUCUUAUUGUAGAUAGUAUAAAGAAUUUUGUAUCAAAAUAUUAUCUGAUUUGAAUACUUCUACACCGUUAAACUUGAAAACGGCAGACAUCAACUAAUAAAAAUUAUUGAUUUUGAACCCUUUCGAUCGCUAGGUAAAUGAUAUCAAAAAAUCGCAAAAAAUUAUUUUUUAGAAACUUCAAAUACGCUAGAUCAAGUCUAACGGAGCCGAUCGUCGAUUCGAAAAUUUUAUCAUCGAAAACGGCUCAGGAGCACGAAGGCCUCCGUGCUCCUAAGAACACAGCAGUCUUGCUAUAUAUAUAUAUAUAUAUAUAUAGAGAGAGAGAGAGAGAGAGAGAGAGAGAGUUGAGCUGGAAUGCUAUCGGAAGUAUAGCGAAUCUAGUACUUCCAACUUUUUGGUCCUUAGAUCAAUCUCUUUGAUCAUUUCUAACAUUUGGAUUAAUACUAUUACCAUAUGGGGACCACUCAACUCUAAGAUACCGUUUGGUAUGGGUAUAAAGAGGGGAU